rnacentral:lncRNA from 1 species
AUGACAGUGUUUGGUUUGUUUUAUUUCCAAGACGGCUCCGUUAGAGCAGAUAAUACAUCCGUCAUACGUGAUGCAUACAGAAAUAAAAAAAUAACGGUUAACUGCAGGGAAGACCUCGAGUCGGAGCAGGGCUGGAUAGAGGUAAUUUGGCCUACACAACGGCGACAACAAGAGGCGAAGCCUAUUGCAGCCAAAUUGCUUUUCUUUGGAGACACGGUGAGGGAGAAAUUCCCCAACACCAUGGUUAGUGAGAUCCGGGCCCUGCUGCGGAGGAAAUGCAAUAAUGAGGGCUACACCAAGGUUGCUCCUCAGUAGCUUUAUUAUAUAUGUUAUAUAUGUCAGAUGUUUUAAAGUUAGGUGUUAUUGAAUGUAUGUUUGUAUUAAUAUUUAAAUUAAAGUUUUGGUUUGUACAAUUUAAGUGUUUUUUGUCAUGGAACAAAAUAGCACCCAUGGAGUGUACUAAAAUGGUACCAGAAAGAAGUGCAUGUGAAGUAUAAUAUGUAUUGUAAGUAUAUUUCUGUAGUAUUUAUAAAGUACUUAGUAGUAUAACAGUAUUGUACUUAAAAUACCCUUAAUAUACGCUUCCACUUUACAUUAUAGUAUAAUAACUAUACUUUAAGUACAUGCCUUUGAUGCUUAAAUUGUGACACAAAUUGACUAUAAAUACAUAAUAAAUGCAUUUUUAGUUACAUAAUUGCACACUUUAAAAGUACUAAAUAUAGUCAGAAAGUGUACUUGAAUUUAAUUAGAAAUAUGACAGAGGAAUGAUAAUAGUGUGUUAAAAAUACACUUCUAUUAUGUAGUAUAAGCAGUGAUAAAAUACACUCAAUAUACACUUCUGCUCCUCUUUAGAGUAUAAUAACAUUGUACUUAAAGUGCAUGCCUUUGAUGCUGCAAUUGUGAUAGAAAUGUACUAUAAAUACAUUUUAAUUAACAUAAUGGCAGACUUAAAAAGUACUAAAUAUAGUCAGAAAGUGUAUUUGAAUUUAAUUUGAAAUAUGACAGAAGUAUGAUAAUAGUGUGUUCAAAAUAUACUUAUAUACUACUAUCAAUUGAACCAUACUGCCUUUUUAAGUAUAUUUCAAACACACUGGUAAUAUAAUGCUAUUGUACUGCAAGAGUGUUUCAAAUGCUAGAAAUCAUACUUUUCACUAGUGUACUUCAGUACACUUAAAGGUUGUCAAAAGUUGUGCAAUUUUAGCAUACUAUUUACACUUGGAGUAUACUGGAGUAUAUCUAUAGUAGUACUUAAGGUAUACCUUAGUACACUUUGGUAUACUUGAAUGCGACGAAAUUAGUACAGAAUACAGUUACAUACUAAAAGUGGACUUAGUACAUCCUUUCAAAAGUGUCGUUGAAGUAUAAU